AGAGUUUGAUUAUGGCUCAGGAUGAACGCUGGCGGCGUGCCUAACACAUGCAAGUCGAACGGGCACGGCGUGCGGCAGGGGCCUCGGCCCCUGCGGCGCCGCGCGAGUGGCGGACGGGUGAGUAACGCGUGGGCAACCUGCCCUGUACUGGGGGAUAACACCUGGAAACAGGUGCUAAUACCGCAUAAGCGCGCUGUGCCGCAUGGCGCGGCGCGGAAAACCCCGGUGGUACAGGAUGGGCCCGCGUCUGAUUAGCUGGUUGGCAGGGUAACGGCCUACCAAGGCGACGAUCAGUAGCCGGCCUGAGAGGGUGGACGGCCACACUGGGACUGAGACACGGCCCAGACUCCUACGGGAGGCAGCAGUGGGGGAUAUUGCACAAUGGGGGGAACCCUGAUGCAGCGACGCCGCGUGGGUGAAGGAGCGUUUCGGCGCGUAAAGCCCUAUCGGCAGGGAAGAAGAUGACGGUACCUGACCAAGAAGCCCCGGCUAACUACGUGCCAGCAGCCGCGGUAAUACGUAGGGGGCAAGCGUUAUCCGGAUUUACUGGGUGUAAAGGGGGCGCAGACGGCAAUGCAAGCCAGGAGUGAAAGCCCGGGGCCCAACCCCGGGACUGCUCUUGGAACUGCAUGGCUGGAGUAC
rnacentral:rRNA from 1 species